AUGCCUUAGCCACUUGUACAUGUUUAUAAUUUUAUAUUUUUCUAUCGCUAAACUGGUCAGUGAUUGCUUAGUAAUACGUCAUAGAGAAUUUACAGUUAAAGCUUUAUUUUGAAAGGACGUCCACUAGGUGUUGUAAAGCAGGAGUAAUUACAGUAAAGCAGAAAGCAGCGCGAAAGGUCCGAUGAGCAGAAAAAGGUGCUCCACGGAAAAUAAUUGAGACAAAACAGUUUUAAGGUGUUCUCAAAGCUGCUGACGGUCACUCUAGCACCUGGUUGAUAAGGAGAACAAGGUUUGUAUUGGAAACUGUUAUUUACAUGUGUUCUGAUAUAGUUAUGAAGUGUAUUAGUUGCUAAUCUGCUAGCUAAAAGUAACAUGGUCUAUCUCCUGGUACAAGGUAAAACGGGAUACAGCUAAAAGGUUUAUAUAAAUACAUAAAUUCAUGGUAAAUAGCACUCUAAUAGAGAUUGUCAAGGUAUAACGGUCAAGGAUUAAAAAGCAAUUCAUAUGGUAAUAAAUAUGGCUAAAAAGGGCUAUAAAUAUAUGGCAUAAAAGGUGUAAGAGUUGCUAAUUGUAUUCCUAUUUGUCUGCAUUGUAGCUCUUACGGUGGAUAUGGUCAAGGCAAGGCAAUAAAACACUUUUCAACCACCAGUUAAAGAGACCAACCUUUAUUUGUCAACCGGGGACGCUACAGUAAGAGCUUGCCUCCAGGCGCAGAACGCUCGCCCGAGCCGGAGGUUCAGUAAGAGCUUGCCUCCAGGCGCAGUAAGCUCGUCCGAGCCGGAGGUCCAGCGAGAGCCGGACGGUCGCCAUUUUGCUGAACAACGCGGUCUCAAGGUUCAACGGCAAUACCCGCAACGUCCAGCAGAUGGCAGAAGGACCACGGUUAAAAGCUCAAAAUGGAAAAUCUACAAGCUGCAUCAGUAAGUCUCAUGGAGAUAAACGAACAGAUUACAAGUUUACAACAAGAAAUUCAAGACUUAAAGAACUCACUUAAAGAUGAAAGUGAAAAUGAAGAGGACAUUAAAGACACAAUUGCAUGCAAAGAGAAAACUUUAAGAAUACUUCAAAAUAAAGUACAAGGCAAGUCAGAUUUGCCAAGACGUUCAGAAAGAGUUAAAGUUCAAACAGAAAAGAUGAUGGCAUAUCAACAAGAAGAAAUAAGCAAAAGGGAAAGAAGAAUUUCAACUCUAUAUGAACAAUGGAAGACAGAAAUACGUGUAACAAGAGAAAAGUUAAAAUCAGACAUCACUGAUAAAGAAAUGUCAGACCUUGCAGACAUCAUAGAGCAAAGGAGAGAUGAUGUCCUCAAGUUGUAUUCAGAGAUGAGAAGCCAAAUAGCACCCCCAAAUGACAUCAGGAGAAAAGUUGAUGCAUGUGAUGCUGUGACUCAUGAAAUUGUGAAAAUAAUUAUGGAAAGAAUAAGUCAUAUUGAGGACUUUGAUGCAGAACGUGAAAGGAUUCGUUUACGGGGACUUUUGGAGCACAACUACGCUCGAUCUAUAUAUGGCUCAACUGCAACAUCAAGCCGCACCGUGGAGUCUUCAACUUCGCAACUCACAACUAAACGAGCGGAUGCAGCGGCAGAACUUGCAGCGAAAGAGGCUGAGUAUGCGAUCACAAUAGAACAGCAAAUGCAACAAGAAAAGAUAAGGGUGUUACAAGAGGAGCACAGGAAGCAAAUCGCAGCUCAAACAUCGGAGUUGGAACGCCUGAAAGCACAGAAGGAAAUGAAAGCAGCUCGAGCCAGGUUCGAAGUAUAUAACAGAGAGUUAUCACAGGCAGGUGAUGUACAGUCAAUGAAAGGUGAACAGGUGGGCUUAUACACCACACCUCAGCAGCCCGCACCAGCACACACAUUCAUUCCUGUGCAAACAGUUCCCUCCAGUGUCACUCAGCUUGCACAAGCAGUUCAAGAUAGCAUUCGAAUGAACAGACUCCCAACACCAGAGCCAACAGUGUUUAAUGGUGAGGCAUUAAACUUUAUUGAAUGGAAAUCUACAUUCGUGUCAUUGAUCGACCAAAAGGACAUCUCAGCUGCAGAUAAACUGUACUAUUUGAAAAGAUAUGUAACAGGUCCAGCUCGCAAAUGCCUCGAAGGGACUUUCUUUAGAAAUGAUGAAGAGGCUUAUAAAGAUGCAUGGGACAAACUAAAUCAAAGGUACGGCCAGCCAUUCGUGAUACAGAAGUCAUUUAGAGAAAAGCUAUCAAACUGGCCUAAGGUACAGCCCAGAGAUGCUGAAGGACUACGGACCUUUGCAGAUUUUGUUAAUGCAUGUGUGCUCGCUAUGCCACAUGUAAAGGGUUUGCAAAUACUGAACGACAGCGAAGAAAAUCAAAAGCUGUUGCACAAACUACCGGACUGGAUAAAUGUGAGAUGGAACAGGCAGGUAACAAAGACUUUAAUGGACGGUGGUGAAUUUCCCAGCUUCAGUGAUUUUGCCUCCUUCCUCUCUACGGAAGCUGAAGUCGCCUGCAACCCAGUUACCUCCAUCCACGCACUCCGCUCCACUGAAACAAAUAGUGACAAAAGGUACACAAGAGAAAUCAAAAGGAGCAAGGCAAGUGUAUUCAACACAAACACAACGGAACAAAGCGACAAAAGGGCAGUAACAAAAACAUCUAAUGGUUUUUCGUGCACAUUAUGUCAAGGCACACAUCAGCUCCACAAGUGUCCAGACCUAAUAAAAAUGACUCUGGAAAACAGAAAGAAAUAUGUAAAGGACAAUAAACUUUGUUACGGUUGUUUGAAACAAGGACACAGUGCUAAGGACUGCAAACGCCGCCUCACCUGUGAAACAUGCACAAAGAGACACCCAAGCUGUCUUCAUGAUGACAACUACAGUAACAGUCAACGGAAAGAAACAAGAGUGAGUGCAGACAAUGCAACUCAAGGUAACGCACCAGAAUCAGCUACAGUCUUGUCACUCAAUGUCGCCAGAUCUGAACAGACAGUCAGUACCUCAAUGAUUGUUCCCGUGUGGCUGUCAACCACUGCAAAUCCACACAAAGAAAAACUGGUCUAUGCAUUAUUAGACACGCAGAGCGACACAGUAUUCAUUGAUCAGGAUGUAGCACGUGAACUGAAAGCAGAUGUCCAUCCAGUUAAGUUGAAACUGACUACUAUGAUGGGUAAUAAUGCAGUUGUCAGUAGUGGAAAGGUGUCUGACCUCUUAGUCAGGGGUUAUAGCUCAGCUGCAGUCUUGAAGCUUCCUACUGCAUACACUAAGGACUACAUACCAGCAAAGAGAGAACACAUACCAACAUGUGAAACGGCAAAACAGUGGAGUCACUUGCUACCCAUUACGAAUGAGAUCCCUCCACUCCUUGAUUGUGAAGUAAGUCUCCUUAUAGGUUAUACUUGUCCUAGAGCUCUUGCACCCAAACAAGUAAUCUUAGGCAAAGAAAAUGAGCCCUAUGCCAUUCACACAGACUUAGGAUGGAGCAUAGUAGGCAACUCAGUACCUUGUAUUGAAACGGACAUGACAAGCAGUCUCUGUCACCGAGUCACCGUAAAAGAAAUCCCUCCUUCCACUCCAGCAGACGCAAUACGCGCUUUGGAAAGAGACUUUAAAGAAGUGGACAGAAAUGAAAAUACUGUGUCACAAGAGGAUUUAGUAUUCCUUCACAAACUCGAACAAGGCAUAACACAAACUGAAAAUGGACAUUAUGAAAUGCCAUUACCAUUUAAAGAAAGGCCACAAAUGCCAGAUAACAGACAACAAGCAGAGAACAGGCUGAAUCAGCUGAAACGCAAAUUCAUGAGAGAUGAAAAAUACAAAGCGGAUUACUUAAAAUACAUGGGCGACAUCAUCAAAAGAGGUGAUGCCGAAGAGACAGAUGAUUAUGGUCACCCAGGGGAGACAUGGUACAUACCACAUCACGGCAUCUAUCAUCCAAAGAAGCCUGAAAAGCUGCGCGUGGUCUUUGACUGCUCUGCAAAGCACAAGGGUACCUGUCUCAACGAACAUUUACUAAACGGCCCUGACAUGAUUAACAAUCUCACUGGUGUUCUUGUGCGCUUCAGACAGCACCAAGUAGCUCUGUUAUGUGAUAUCGAAAAAAUGUUUCACCAGUUCAAGGUCAAAGAAAGUGAUCGCAACUACUUGCGUUUCUUAUGGUGGAAAGACGGAGACAUGAGCAGCCAACCACAAACAUACAGGAUGACGGUGCACCUCUUCGGCGCUGUUUCAUCACCUGGUUGUGCAAACUAUGGACUCAAACGUUUGGCUAAAGAGAACAGUUGCACAUACCCUGUAGGAUCACAGUUUGUAGCCAGAGACUUCUAUGUUGACGACGGAGUCAGUGGCGCAGGGACAGUAAAAGAUGCUAUACAAUUGGCAAAGGAAGCACGCAAACUAUGUGCAAAGGGUGGACUAAGGUUACACAAGUUCGUGUCCAACAGCUCUGAAGUUCUCAACAGUAUUCCAACUUCAGAACAUGCAACAGAUAUCAAAACAAAGGACUUGACUUUUACAGAAACACAGACAGAGAGAGCUCUCGGUAUCUGUUGGAAUGUGGAGAAAGAUUGCUUCACUUUCAACAUCACGUUAAAGGAGCAACCACCAACCAGGCGCGGCAUCCUGUCCACAGUAGCAGCAAUAUACGACCCGCUUGGAUUUAUAGCUCCCUAUGUGCUCAAUGGUAAGAGCAUCCUCCAAGAGAUGUGUCGUCAAGGCACAGACUGGGAUGACCCGCUACCUGAACAUCUCAGGCCACGGUGGGAGUGCUGGAAAGGAGAUCUAAAGAACUUGCAAAAACUGCAAAUAAGUAGAUGUUAUGUUCCUGCAGAUUUUGGAGAUGUAGUGAAAAGAGAAAUACAUCACUUUUCCGAUGCAAGCUUCACAGGAUAUGGACAAUGUUCUUAUCUGAGACUCAUAAACAAAAAUAAAGAGGUUCACUGUACCUUCAUUAUGGGCAAAGCUCGCGUCUCUCCAACAAAGGUCAUCACAAUCCCAAGAUUAGAGCUCACUGCAGCCACGGUGUCAGUUGCUGUGAGCAUCAUGAUGAAAGAGGAACUGCUCUAUGACAACGUCGAGGAAUUCUUUUGGACUGACUCAAAGGUUACUCUUGGAUACAUAAACAACGAAGCAAGGCGCUUCCAUACGUUUGUUGCUAAUAGAGUGCAGAAAAUCCGCAACAAUACUUCUCCACAACAAUGGUUUUACGUGCCCACCAGUGAAAACCCUGCAGACAUGGCUUCAAGGGGCACAUCAGUAAGUGAACUGCUUUCAUCCAACUGGCUUACAGGUCCUUCGUUCCUGUGGCAAAAGGAGAUAAAUCUUCCAACAAAAGAGACUAUUGAGCUUCCAGUAGGAGACCCAGAGGUGAGAAAGGUACAGGCACUAAGCACACAAACUGUUGUACAUAAGAGCCUUAGUGACCACAUCGCAAAGUUCUCAUCUUGGUCCCGUGCAGUCAGCGCAGUUGCACGUCUCAAAAGAUACUUGCUCAAAGACAAAUCAAAGACUCUCACUACUGUAACUGAAAGACAAAAUGCAGAAAUGGUGAUCAUCAAGGAUUUACAAAGACAAACAUAUCAAAAUGAAAUAGAGACACUCAGCAAAGGCAAAGAACUAUCAAGGAACAACAAAAUGUACUAUCUGGAUGUUUUCUUGGACAAAGACAAUGUGCUCAAAGUGGGAGGAAGGCUUCAGAACUCAUCUCUUCCCUACUCAUUCAAACAUCCCACUAUCAUUCCCAGAGAACAUCACAUCGCAAAGCUGAUAAUUGCCCACUGUCACAAAAAGGUCAAUCAUCAGGGAAAGGGCUUCACAAUGAAUGAGAUACGAUCCAGUGGUUAUUGGAUUCCAAACUUAAGUAAAACAGUCACAUCCUACAUUCACCAAUGUGUGUUUUGUCGAAAACAAAGAAGACCUGUGGAAGGACAAAAAAUGAGAGAUCUACCAGCAGAGAGGAUCGAGCACUCUCCGCCUUUCACAUACUGUGGUAUGGACGUUUUCGGUCCAUUCCUGACCAAACAAGCUCGAAAAGAAAACAAAAGGUAUGGCCUACUUUUCACAUGCUUCUAUUCUCGUGCAGUUCAUAUAGAAAUGCUAGAGGACCUAUCAACGGACGCUUUUAUAAAUGGACUCAGAUGCUUUAUUGCUUUGAGAGGCUCUGUCAGACAGAUAAAAUGUGAUCAGGGUACCAACUUUGUAGGUGCUAAAAAUGAACUGAACACAGCACAAAGUGAAAUGGACACUGACAAACUGACAAUCUUCCUUGCAGAGAAACAGUGUGAUUUUGUUCUAAACACACCUCAUGCUAGUCACGCAGGUGGAGUAUGGGAACGACAAAUACGGACUGUGAGAAAUGUUUUUAAGGCAACUUUAGCUCUCACACAAGGUCGACUCACUGAUUCUUCACUCAGAACUUUCUUGUAUGAAGCAGCUGCAAUUGUAAACAGCCGCCCACUAACGACAGACAAUCUCAACGAUCCAAACAGCUUGGAGCCGUUAACUCCAAAUCAUCUCGUCACAAUGAAAACUUCAUCCGCUCUGCCUCCUCCAGGACAGUUCAUUAAAGAGGACUUGUAUGCGCAAAAACGUUGGCGUCAAGUACAGUAUCUUCUCGAACAGUUUUGGAGCAGAUGGAAAAGGGAGUACUUGCAGAACAUAAUGCUCCGACAAAGAUGGAACACACCUAAAAGGAACAUGCAAAUAGGAGACAUUGUCAUGGACAAAGAGGAAGUGCAACCGAGAUCCCAGUGGAAACUUGGAAGAAUCGUGGACACUGUGAAAGACACAGAUGAACUUGUCAGAAAGGUCAAAAUAGCCUUCGCAGACAGAAAUCUUGCCGAGAAUGGACAACGUCUCAAUAAACUGUCUGUAGUAGAACGCCCAGUUCAUAAGUUAGUUCUGCUAUUGGAAGAGAAGUAAAUAUGCAAUGCUUUUGAAAUGUUCUAAAGGGUUUAAAAGGUUUUGGAAAUUAUUUGUGUUUUAUAUGUGUAACAAAAUAAUUUGGUGGGAGUGUAAAUGCCUUAGCCACUUGUACAUGUUUAUAAUUUUAUAUUUUUCUAUCGCUAAACUGGUCAGUGAUUGCUUAGUAAUACGUCAUAGAGAAUUUACAGUUAAAGCUUUAUUUUGAAAGGACGUCCACUAGGUGUUGUAAAGCAGGAGUAAUUACAGUAAAGCAGAAAGCAGCGCGAAAGGUCCGAUGAGCAGAAAAAGGUGCUCCACGGAAAAUAAUUGAGACAAAACAGUUUUAAGGUGUUCUCAAAGCUGCUGACGGUCACUCUAGCACCUGGUUGAUAAGGAGAACAAGCUCUUACGGUGGAUAUGGUCAAGGCAAGGCAAUAAAACACUUUUCAACCACCA